AAUGAUUUAGGAUACACAGAGAUUUCUCUUAGCCAAGAAUAGCUGUCCUUUCAGGAUCCUGAGAACAGAUGUGCAGCCAAGGACAUCCAGUACCUGCAUUUUUCAAAAUAAUUGUAAAGGAUCUAUGAUGGUGACCUGCAUAACAAACAGCAGUGUCAGUGGGCAGGCCUCAUUGCAUACUGGAUUGAGGUUGUGACAGGACCUUACCAGGCAGAACUUCAUGCUCCAGUGGACACCAUUUUCCAUCCUUCAGUAGAGAUUGAUACACAGAUGCCCAUGGUUUCCGCUUGUCUUCAGGCACUUCUCAUAUGAUCCUUAGAGACGCUAUAAUGAUAAUAUCUCCCUUCUAAAACCUUUACCGGGUUGCCUAGAAACCCCUAAUCAGUAGACUACUGGCCAAGAAGGUAAGAGUGGAAAGACAGAGA
ensembl:lncRNA